rnacentral:tRNA from 1 species
GCCUGGGUGGCUCAGUCGGUUAAAGCAUCUGACUUCAGCUCAGAUCAUGAUCUCGCUGUCCGUGAGUUCGACCCCUGCGUCGGGCU